UACCAGCACCCCGAGUGGUCGGGACGAUUAUUGGGCCUAAAGCAUCCGUAGCCGGUUUACAAGUCCUCCGUUAAAUCCAGCUGCUUAACAGAUGGGCUGCGGAGGAUACUAUGGAGCUAGGAGGCGGGAGAGGCAAGCGGUACUUAGUGGGUAGGGGUAAAAUCCGUUGAUCCAUUGAAGACCACCAGUGGCGAAGGCGGCUUGCCAGAACGCACUCGACGGUGAGGAUGAAAGCUGGGGAGCAACCGG
rnacentral:rRNA from 1 species